UUUAUAUGGCUUUGUUGUGUGAAUUUGACUGUGUAUUAACUUCGAAUUUGAUGCCAUUGGAUUUUUGACUGUCAGAAUAUUGCGAAUCGAAUUCAGUUUAGCGAAAAAUCCUCACAAGACUGCAAAAUGGGUCGCCACAAGGCAGCAGAUCCAAACGCCGACCAAAGGUGUAUAAAGCAAGGACUGCCAUCAAUUAUCCGAGAACGAUAUCGCGAUGUUAUUAUCGCGAUCAUUUCUAUUCUGUCUAUCAAAGCAACGAAAAUUGCGUGCCUGGCAUCAUUACUCUUUCUCAUGAAAGUGAAUGAAGCUGUUGAUCACUUUGAUGAUGAAUUUUUUGUAUGGGAUGAUGGAUCCAGCAUGAUUAAACGUUGUUUUAAGGCAGUACUACGUGACAACAUCGGCAAAGUCUUUCUUAUGCUACCGGAUUUUCGACAGUUGGUAGACGCUGCUAGAAUCGAUUGGCCCACCAAUGGUGGAUUUGGUAAUAGUUUCAAGUACUUGUAUGAACAAUACGAAGACAACGUUCGAACAAACUUGAAAACGCAUUGCGAAUCCCGUUUAAGAAAAUUUUUCAAGCUAAAGACAUUCCAGCUCAAUGACAAUGCAAUUCGGUAUAACUACUUUAACAACUUGUACGGCUCGCCCAAUGAAUUGCCAUAUUACGAUGAAACUGACAUCAAAAAUGCCGUUAACUACGCAUAUCAUCGGAAAGACAACACGAGUGACGAUGUUGAGCGACAGCUUCGAUUGGGCGAGUUGUUGGAUGAGCUACGUUGGUUAGGUGCACCAGAAGAUUGCAACAUUAAAGAAUAUGUCAGCGAAAAUUGGUUCCAUUCGAUUCGUAUGUGGAUACAUAUUCAACGUGAAAUCCAAUGGUAUCACAAUGAGUACAAAUGUCGUCGUGAUGCACCACAAAUUAAAAAUUUUGUCGUUGUACCAAUGUGCAGUUUCCAACGUCGUCACAUUCGCAUCGAUACCGACGCAUUGUACACCAUCCUAGCCAGUGUAAAAUUGGUGCCAUUGAAGUGCGGUUUGAAAAAACGCAAAGAUAAAACGACCAAUUCGAUCAACAUAACGAGCAACGAAUUCCGCAGAAAUAAAAUCUUAAGUUGGAAUCUGUUUUUCAAUGUGGAAAAAGUUCAACAACUGGUACAUUUCAAAAAGUAUUUCGAUUUCCAAAUUUGUUCGGACGGUGUGUCUGUUUCGAUGAUGUACAAAAAGCCAAAAUUACCACCACUCGAAAUAAGUGAUGCUGAAAUCAUGAAAAUGUACAAAGGGAACAAAUUGAAGUAUGCUAUUGGCUGUGACCCGGGCAUGAAAACCUGGAACGCUUCAGUGCGUCGUGAUUUGGAUACCAAAGAAGAGGUGAAUUUGCGCAUAUCCAGCAAACGGUAUCACUGGGAUGCGAAACAAGGCCGACGUAAUGCAAAAGCCGAACGAAUCACCCGAUUAUUUACAUACGACGAGAAAGCUGAUCGCAAUCGAGUUGCAGCGACUCUGGGUACAAUGCCAUCGCCAAGAGAAACAUCAUGGCGCUCGUAUAUUGAACAUCGACUACGAGUUAUGAAUGAUGGCAUUGAAACGUACACGUGUAAGCAAUAUGCACGCUUGGGAUUGGACAAGCAUAUCGACUCGGUUCGUGCGAUCGACAAAACGGCUUGCAAACUGACACGCAAUCAACCAUCAAUUUUCUACAUGGGAGCCAGUGGAUCCACACCAGCCAACUCACCGAUCAAAAUCAAAAAACACGUGCGAUGCCCAGGCACUCGCAAACUGAUUGCAGCCAUAAUGAAACGUGGAAAUUGUAUCGUUCGGAUGGUCGAUGAGUAUAUGACAUCACAACAUUGCCCAUUGUGUUUCAAGCGAUUUCCACAAGAAACUCGACGUGAUCGAUACAAGAAAUGUGUGGGUUGUGUACCAAAUCCAAUUGUUGGACUACCACGAACCAUCGUAACCAAUGUGAGCAAACGAUUACUACAAAUGCGACGAACAAUUGAACGAAUGUGGCGCGAGAUGCGUGAUAUAGGCGAUGUCAUUGCUGCAACUCUUCGAGAUGGACCGAAUGCAGGUCGUUUGGUGUCAAAGAAGCAACGCUUCUUCAAAACAUGGCUACCAAAUGUUGCAAACGUUGAAAUCGAGGGAGCUGCCGGAGCACAACCAACGCUCACAACUGUAUGGCACCGUGAUAUCGCAGCAGCGAAGCUGAUCCUCUACAAAGGUGAAUGCGUGGUGUUCAAGCGGACAAUUCAUCCAAAUGUACGGAGACCACGCCGUGUUGACAACAAUCAGCCAUUGCCGUUGUAUCGAGGUCAGAAUCAGAAUGUCAACAAUGGACAUCUGCAGCCGCAGUAGUAGCAGCCCUCAUUCAACAACAUUCAAACAAUACUAAAUUUAGAAAUUAGUUUAUAACAAUUAUUUGUUAGUUCGCUAGGCUUGAUUAAAUUGUGGCCUUGCCAAAGUACGAGUACCUCUUGGUAUAAAUUGUACUCGUAUGAAAUGAAAAUAUACCGUAGCCCAUCUACUAACAUUGUAUAUCAUCAUAAACAUGAAGCACUAAUAGUUUCAAAGUGUAAAGUGUACGAUUUCAAUUGAUAAAUAAUCAUCACUUUAGUAUUGUAAUUUACCAUUACGUCACAAUUUUAAUGGAAUAUUGUUUCGAAGUAAUUGUUCAAGGCCAUAUUUAUGACGCAACGAAUAUAAUUUUGUGCUGCGAACGAAUGCAAAACAGAAGCCGGUUAAUAUCGUAUUGGCCAUAUGUAUGCAUUAACAAGACUUACAUUGUCUCUUUCUUGAGUUGAUGCGAAAACUGGAAUUAAAAUACAUAUUCACAUAAUAAAAUACCGUAUAAUA